rnacentral:misc_RNA from 1 species
GAUGAAGAACGUAGCGAAAUGCGAUAAGUAGUGUGAAUUGCAGAAUUCAGUGAAUCAUCGAAUCUUUGAACGCACAUUGCGCCCCUUGGUAUUCCAUGGGGCAUGCCUGUUCGAGCGUCAUCUACACCCUCAAGCUCUGCUUGGUGUUGGGCGUCUGUCCCGCCUUUGCGCGUGGACUCGCCCCAAAUUCAUUGGCAGCGGUCCUUGCCUCCUCUCGCGCAGCACAUUUGCGCUUCUCGAGGUGCGCGGGCCGCGUCCACGAAGCAACUAUUACCGUCUUUGACCUCGGAUCAGGUAGGGAUACCCGCUGAACUUAAGCAUAUCAUAAGCGGAGGA